ensembl:lincRNA
CUUCUGGGAAUAAGACUUUAAAUAUUACUUGUGAAUCACCCAGCUUCCUUCCAAGAGAAAGCCUCCCCCACCUCUCUCCCAACACCCUCGUCUGUGACACAUUAGGAUUUUAGCAUUUCAGUUUUUCCCACCAAACUUCUAGUUCCUCAGCGUGGGCAGGACGACAGCCCCGUGCACAGAGAACAUGUCCCUUCAAUUCUUCUCCAGGUUAGAGUCAAUAAUGAUAAUGAUAAUAAAUAUCAUGAGAGCUCGACCCACGCAAGUUCUGAAAUAGACACUAGGUGGUGCUAGACCCCGCAUUAUCCAAGCAGCUCAAUCAAAGCGCCCUUUCUUGAGGCUGGGGAGUUUUGUAGUAAGGUCUGCUCCUUCCUGGAGUCUCGGAGCGCGAGUGGGCGCGGAAAGGUUCAUUUUAAACCGUAAGCAAAAAGCUAUGCCAGAAGGUCGCGUAGUGCCUAAAGAGUCCCUGGCUUUGCUGCUAACGGGGACCCCGUCCGAGUGUGGCUGGGGGAAAGGAAGUUCCCAGACGCGAGGCUAGAGACCGCAAAGAACCUUGCUGAGCUAUAAAUAACGUUAGGAACCAGUCGCCCUUUUCAACUUGUGCUCUGCCCCGGGGCAGGAAGGAAAAGAACUUUCCCCCUUAGGAGGGUGUGGGGCGGGGGGUGGGGGGAAAGUUCAUCUUCCAGGCUCUAGAGUGAGAACAACCGGGAGACCAAACCCGGCCCUUCUGUCACUGCGAUCCUCCCCGACCUCAGUCCACGGCGUUCCAGGUCCAGCGCCCCGUCGGGGUAAAACGCGAUCCUCAGUGUCCCUGGGGAGGUGCGGGGGAACUGACGAAUCCGGCGCUCUCCAGGACGCAAUCGCCUCUCCGGGAGUCUCCCAACCCAGCAAGUUGAUGAUUAAAGUAACUGGCACAGCCUCCCACCUCUGUUCUCAGCUUCCCAGUUUCUUUCCCCAGAAGCGGCUCCCAACCUCUCCCUUCCUACUCACACCCGUUCCACCCAACCUUUUUUUUGUUUCCAGAUUAAAAAAACAAAAAUUGAUCCUAUCACUCUUAUUGUCCUCAGGACAUGCAAAAUGCAAGCUACCGGGCCCAGCCUAGACAUUCUUUCUCUUUGGGCCUCUAAGACUUCUCUGGCCUCAUCAACCCCCUAAAGCCAGGCCCAGUUCCUGGCAGCAACCCAAAUCUGUGCACUCAUUCACCACAGCUGUGUAUCAAAUUCUUUUACAUUUAAUUUUGGGCAGUUUAUGCGCACACACACACAGUUUCCUUCCUUCUCCAUUUUCACCAGUCUCAUUUCUCCCAAAGAUAACCACUGUUUACUAAUUUCUCGUAUUUCCUUCCGGAUAAUUUUAUGCACAUUAAAUGAAAUACAGAUAUGUCUUCCCCUUUUACCCACAUGGUAGCAUGCAAUUCACACUUUAUACAUCUGCUGUUUUUAAGAUGUAGUAAUAUGUUCUAGGAACCUUUCCAUAGCAAUUCGUAAACGAGCUUUUUCCCCCCCCCCCCCAGCAGUGUAUUCAAUUGUGUGGUUGUAUUUGAAUCCAGAAUUUUUUUUCUGAAAAGGGCCAGAUAGUAAAUAUUUCAGGAUCUGUGGGAUUGUGGGAUCUGCAGAAAUUACUUUUAAAAAACAG